rnacentral:rRNA from 1 species
UACGGAGGGGGCGAGCGUUAUUCGGAAUUACUGGGCGUAAAGGGCUCGUAGGCGGCCAACUAAGUCGGAUGUGAAAUCCCCAGGCUCAACCUGGGAACUGCAUCCGAUACUGGAUGGCUUGAAUCCGGGAGAGGGAUGCAGAAUUCCAGGUGUAGCGGUGAAAUGCGUAGAUAUCUGGAGGAAUACCGGUGGCGAAGGCGGCAUCCUGGACCGGCAUUGACGCUGAGGAGCGAAAGCUAGGGGAGCAAACGGG